AUGGCGUCCGUCCAUAUCGCCCCACUCUCCCGUCCCCAUCUCCGAUCCCCAUCACAACCGGAGCCGUCGAGGCCGCCGCGCUUCCUCUCCCUCCCCUCGACUCCGGCGGCCGGCCGGGGCGCGUCGCCACCUUCCUCGCCCUUCGCCCCGCUGCUCGGGUACCCGCUCCCCAGUCCAGCACAGAGCACAGGGAGGGGGGCAAUGGAAGGACCAUCUGCUUCUGACGGCCAAGUGAUCCCGUCCACCGCAGGAGACCCUCACCUCAGCAGCUCGGCCGCGCCCAUGGACGCCGCCGGCGGCGGCUCGCAGCACGUCGCGACGCUGCGGAAGCUGCUGUUUCGGAGGAUGCUGGUCGGGGUGAACGACGGCCGCUACUUCCUGGGGCUGUUCCACUGCGUCGACAAGCAGGGGAACAUAAUCCUGCAGGACGCGGUGGAGUACCGCAGCGCGCGCCGCUCAUCCCCGUCGGCGCCCAAGGAGGAGCGGUGCCUCGGGCUCAUCCUCAUCCCGGCGUCCUGCCGCUCGUCCUGCCAUGUCGACUGCUUCAUCGAAGAGCAGAUGGCACUGCUGUCCCUGUGCAAGUGA
rnacentral:rRNA from 1 species